UCCCUUCCCAGCCUCCUGAGAAAAAGAGAGAAGCAACCAAUAUUCCAAAUGUUCUUUCAGUGGUGUUACUAUAUCCACAAUGUUGGGCAACCAUCACCACCAUUUCCAAAAUUUUUUGUCACCCAGUGCAGAAACUGUGUAACCAUUAAGCAAUAACUCUCCAUUCCUCCCUUCCCCAGCCUCUGCAUAAAGUCUUCAAGGUUCAUCAAUGUUGCAGCAUGUAUCAGAACUUUGUUCCUUUUAUGACGGAAUAAUAUUCCAUUCUCCACCCUGCUCAUCAGAUUCCUCAUUUACAGCCUCAACUCCUUCCAAAAACCAGUGACAUUGCCACAAACCAGCGAGAUGCAGCCCCUUUAAACCUCUGUGCCUACUCUGGAGGGCAGCACACCUGUCCGGCUCUUCCUGUCCUCAUUGAUGGGACGUGAGGAUCCAUUUCUGAAAUCACUGAGUCAGAAGCAUCCAAAAGAAUCAAUGAAAGAAGAGUACAACUAGCAAGAUGCUAAGGAACAACACACUAAGCACUUAAAAAAUACUUGAUACCCAAGGGCCAAUUCCAGAUCAAGUAAAUUAGAAAUCUCUAGGUGUGGGGUUCAGCUGCUGGUAUUUUUUUAAAUCUCCCCCAGAUGACUAUAAAGAAUAGACAAGGUUGAGAACUACAAGAUUAGCACAAUACAGAAAUGUAGGGAGAGCUGCCAUGUAGGUAACACUAUACUGUUUCAAAGUCAAUGAUGUCUCAGGCAGAAAUUAUUGAGGUAGAGUCAUAGGAUACUCCAAUUGGCACAAAACCUGGUGCGGUAGUUUUAAAAUAUGUUGAAGAGAAAAACAAACAACCCCAUCAAAAAGUGGGCAAAGGAUAUGAACAGACACUUCUCAAAAGAAGACAUUUAUGCAGCCAACAGACAUAUGAAAAAAUGCUCCUCAUCACUGGUCAUUAGAUAAAUGCAAAUAAAAACCAUAAUGAGAUACCAUCUCAUGCCAGUUAGAAUGGUGAUCAUUAAAAAGUCAGGAAACAACAGAUGCUGGUGAGGAUGUGGAGAAAUAGGAAUGCUUUUACACUGUUGGUGGGAGUGUAAAUUAGUUCAACCAUUGUAGAAGACAGUGUGGCAAUUCCUCAAGGAUCUAGAACCAGAAAUACCAUUUGACCCAGCAAUCCCAUUACUGGGGUAUAUACCCAAAGGAUUAUAAAUCAUUCUACUAUGGAGACACAUGAAGAGGUUUAUUGCAGCACUGUUCACAAUAGCAGAGACUUGGAACCAACCCAAAUACCCAUCAGUGAUAGACUGGAUAAAGAAAAUGUGGCACUUAUACACCUUGGAAUACUAUGGAGCCAUAAAAAAGGAUGAGUUCAUGUCCUUUGCCAGGACAUGGAUGAAGCUGGCAAUCAUCAUUCUCAGCAAACUAAUACAAGAACAGAAAACCAAACACCACAUGUUCUCACUAACGAAUGGGAGUUGAACAAUGAAAACAC
rnacentral:lncRNA from 10 species